rnacentral:rRNA from 1 species
ACAAGAAAUAAUCUGUCUUAGGUUAAUAUAUUGAAUUUAACUUUUAAGUGAAAAGGCUUAAAUAAUUUGAAGGGACGAUAAGACCCUAUAAAACUUUAUAUUGAAAAAUGAUAGGUAUGAUUUGUUUAAAGAUUAUUAUUUUAAAGUAUUUGGUUGGGGUGACAAAAAUAGAAUGGAAAGUAACUGUUUUUUUUUUUUACAGUGAUGUUUGAGUUAAUGAUCCUAAAAUGGAUUAAAGAUUAAGUUACUUUAGGGAUAACAGCGUAAUUUUCUUUAAGAGUUCUUAUCGAUAAGAAAGUUUGCGACCUCGAUGUUGAAUUAAAGGUUCUUUAUGGAGUAGAGACUAUAAAAGAAGGUCUGUUCGACCUUUAAAACUUU